ACCAGUGUGGUAUACUGGUUUGAGCAUCAGACUAUGACCCUGGAGACCAGGGUUUGAUUCCCUGCUCAGCCA